rnacentral:piRNA from 1 species
UAGAAUGGAUGCAGGCCUCACCCGGGCC